rnacentral:rRNA from 1 species
AGUGAACGCUGGCGGUAGGCCUAACACAUGCAAGUCGAACGGCAGCACAGUAAGAGCUUGCUCUUACGGGUGGCGAGUGGCGGACGGGUGAGGAAUACAUCGGAAUCUACUUUUUCGUGGGGGAUAACGUAGGGAAACUUACGCUAAUACCGCAUACGACCUACGGGUGAAAGCAGGGGAUCUUCGGACCUUGCGCGAUUGAAUGAGCCGAUGUCGGAUUAGCUAGUUGGCGGGGUAAAGGCCCACCAAGGCGACGAUCCGUAGCUGGUCUGAGAGGAUGAUCGGCCACACUGGAACUGAGACACGGUCCAGGCUCCUACGGGAGGCCGCAGUGGGGAAUAUUGGACAAUGGGCGCGAGCCUGAUCCAGCCAUACCGCGUGGGUGAAGAAAGCCUUCGGGUUGUAAAGCCCUUUUGUUGGGAAAGAAAAGCAGCAGGUUAAUACCCCGCUGUUCUGACGGUACCCAAAGAAUAAGCACCGGCUAACUUCGU